ACUACCUCUCAUCCCCCAGGCGCUCUAUGGUUUAGCGCUCUUCUCUCAAUAAAAUGAUUAUAAUUCCCUACCCGAAAGGUUGAACUCUUGACCCGAUGGAGAUACUAAUUCUUGUGUACAAUUUGUCAUAAUUUUCUGAAGAACUUUUCAGUAAAUUACGUUAUCUUCUGUGUUAUAGAGUGUAUCAAUCUGUGUAGCUUACAGAAAUAUCACAAAAGUUUGAUGAUUCAUGAGACGUGAGGCGUCAUGGGGAAUAUGAAGUAUGAACAAAAAAUUCGAACCUCUUCGACCCAGGAUGAGCCAGGGAGGGCCAGUAGAGAGAUCGACAGCGUCGCCGGCAGUAGCAUCACUGCAGGAGGAACUUUCUGUGUCCUGCUCAGUAUCUUGCCAUAAUAUUAUACCUGCUGCGAUACUGAGGUAUCAAGGCAGAUGGUGGUAGCACACGCACGAAGUCAAGCUUGGGAACUCAGCACCGCGUCUUCUGAAACACCUCACCUCUACCCAGCCAGUUUAUCAUGCAUGUAAUUAGUCCUCUGCUGCUGAUCUUGUUGUUCACACUGGUGCUAAUUCCCACCGUAGAGAGUGCAGAAAUUAUGAUAGCGUCUUCUGGUGCCUCAGCCUCCAUGCAUGGGGAAGAUGGUGGUGGCUCUGGCAGACGUCAGAGCCACUACCCGGUGCCACCC